rnacentral:rRNA from 1 species
GCGCCGCUAGAUGAAACUCGCUGUCUGCGAUAUAAGUCGGUGGCCAAGCGAAAGCGAUAAGUUAUCCACCUGGGGAGUACGACCGCAAGGUUGAAACUCCAAGGAAUUGACGGGGGCCCGCACAAGCGGAGGAACAUGUGGUUUAAUUCGAUGAUACGCGAGGAACCUUACCCGGGCUCGAACGGUGCAUGAAUGUCAGAGAGAUUUGACAGUCCUUCCGGACAUGUAUCGAGGUGCUGCAUGGUUGUCGUCAGCUCGUGCCGUGAGGUGUCGGCUUAAGUGCCAUAACGAGCGCAACCCUUGUUGACAGUUACCAUCAGGUAAAGCUGGGGACUCUGUCGAGACUGCCACCGUAAGGUGUGAGGAAGGGGGGGAUGACGUCAAAUCAGCACGGCCCUUAUGUCCGGGGCGACACACGUGUUACAAUGGGAGGUACAGAGGGAACCUAUCCAGUGAUGGAGUGCAAAUCUCAAAAAACCUUUCUCAGUUCGGAUUGGAGUCUGCAACUCGACUCCAUGAAGUUGGAUUCCCUAGUAAUCCCGCAUCACCCAUGGCGCGGUGAAUACGUUUCCGGGCCUUGGACCCCCCGCCCGUCAAGCCCUGGAAACUUGGGGGGCUUGAAAUUCGUGACCCCCAGGGGCGACCUAAGGGAAAACACAGUAACUGGGGGCUAAGUCCCAAACAAG